GAACAUGGCAGCACAGGAAGUCCUCUUUCAUGAGUACUGUGUAGAAGUCCUCUUCCAUGGGUGUCCUUAGCUGCACUAUUGUGGCUGCCUCAAUGUCCUGACUCUUCAAAAAUUUUAACUUUCACGAUAAUUUUGACUUUGGGGAAGAAGCAGAAGUCACAUGGUGCCAAAGCCAGUGAAUAAGAACUUCAAGAUAAAAAUAUACAGUUUCUUUUUGAAAUUAUAAAGUUGGAAAGAACUAAGUAUAAAGAUAACUGAAGAAGAAUGGGAUAUAGAAGACUACAAUUGGGCUCAGAGCAGGAAUACCAGAUGACCAAGGACUAAAAGCUCUAAAACUGUGAGGUUCAUUCUCUUUGGAAUGCAUUACCUGAAUGAUUUCAGUCCUAAGACCUCGCUUAUGAAUGGACUUUUGAGAUGAUUGUUUUUAUUUUACCCAACAAACUGUGGCUAUGAAUUCAUUGAAAAUUGCACCUGAGGUAAAAAGAGAGGGAGGGAAAAAUC